rnacentral:rRNA from 1 species
UGAAGCCCAGCUUGCUGGGUGGAUUAGUGGCGAACGGGUGAGUAACACGUGAGCAACGUGCCCAUAACUCUGGGAUAACCUCCGGAAACGGUGGCUAAUACUGGAUAUCUAACACGAUCGCAUGGUCUGUGUUUGGAAAGAUUUUUUGGUUAUGGAUCGGCUCACGGCCUAUCAGCUUGUUGGUGAGGUAAUGGCUCACCAAGGCGACGACGGGUAGCCGGCCUGAGAGGGUGACCGGCCACACUGGGACUGAGACACGGCCCAGACUCCUACGGGAGGCAGCAGUGGGGAAUAUUGCACAAUGGGCGAAAGCCUGAUGCAGCAACGCCGCGUGAGGGAUGACGGCCUUCGGGUUGUAAACCUCUUUUAGUAGGGAAGAAGCGAAAGUGACGGUACCUGCAGAAAAAGCACCGGCUAACUACGUGCCAGCAGCCGCGGUAAUACGUAGGGUGCAAGCGUUGUCCGGAAUUAUUGGGCGUAAAGAGCUCGUAGGCGGUUUGUCGCGUCUGCUGUGAAAUCCCGAGGCUCAACCUCGGGUCUGCAGUGGGUACGGGCAGACUAGAGUGUGGUAGGGGAGAUUGGAAUUCCUGGUGUAGCGGUGGAAUGCGCAGAUAUCAGGAGGAACACCGAUGGCGAAGGCAGAUCUCUGGGCCAUUACUGACGCUGAGGAGCGAAAGCAUGGGGAGCGAACAGGAUUAGAUACCCUGGUAGUCCAUGCCGUAAACGUUGGGCGCUAGAUGUGGGGACCAUUCCACGGUUUCCGUGUCGUAGCUAACGCAUUAAGCGCCCCGCCUGGGGAGUACGGCCGCAAGGCUAAAACUCAAAGGAAUUGACGGGGGCCCGCACAAGCGGCGGAGCAUGCGGAUUAAUUCGAUGCAACGCGAAGAACCUUACCAAGGCUUGA